AUUGUUAGUAAAUUAUGGCUUUAUGUUCUCCAGGAUUUGCAAGCAUUGAAAAUAUCUGAAGCUGGAGCAAACUCUCAAGCUAACUCCCAACUACCUGUUGAUGGUUUGUCAUAAUAUCAUUAACAUUUGAAGACAAUCUGAACAGUUGUUGUAACAAUAAGAUGCUAUGAUCAAGCAUCUGGAAGCAACUGUAUCUGCUACCAGUUUGGAUAUGGAGAGCUUAAACUCAAAGAUGGAAGAGUUGCAUGUUGGUUUGAAAUUUAAGGAGGACGGCAUUCAACGUUUGAGAAUCUCAUAAGAGAUCUUGGAGAAAGAAAAGAGUGAUCUUCUAUCUAGCAACAAGAGAUUUUCUAGCAAAUAGAUUCCCCCUAGAAAAAAUUUUGAUUUCUGGGUUAUUUUCGAACCUAUUACAGCUAUGGAGAAGCCUAUGAUAAGAUUCAACGUCAACCAAGUGAGCAAUUACAGCUAUGGAGAAGCUGAGGCAUUGACUGAUGAUAUUGAAGAAGAGAGUUAGGUUUUUGGGGAGGUCUUGAGCAACAAAAAGAUUAUUGAUAAUUGUCAAGAUGAGAACUUUGAUAAAUGGGAGAUUAAGCAGAAAUUCCCUGUUAUAUUCUACAUUUUGCUUGCUGGCAUUAGAAAUUACUGUUUGGUGUGAUGGAAUGGAAUACCAGUAGAAAUAUUCCCGUGGAAAGCCUGUUUCAACUUUAAUGUGUCAUGAGCUUCCUGAUGCAUCAAAAGACCACUAAGGGGCACACAUUAAGUUUUGGCCUGACAAAACAAUAUUCAUUACUGCAAUUCAGUUUGAUUACAGCACUAUAGCUGGACAGAUUACGGAGCUGGCAUUUUUAAUCCCUGAGGUACAGUCAUUACCAUAUGCUUAUUGUUCUGUGACAUCUUUAAACCUUCUAAGUUGUUAUUCUAAUUUUUUUUCUUAAACUUCUCAUUUAUUUUUCAAAUGUAGAUUUUUUAAAAUUUUUAAAUUUUUUAAUCUGGUAACUUGCUGCAUCUUUUGCAAUGGAGAAAUACCUUCUGUUGAUGAAGCAACUUUAGACCAUCAAAGAUU